rnacentral:rRNA from 1 species
CUAGCAUCAUAUGCUGGCUGUCCAGGUGUGUAAACUACACCUGUUAGCAAGGGCCGGGCAAGACCGGUGCCAGCCGCCGCGGUAACACCGGCGGCCCGAGUGGUGAUCGUGAUUAUUGGGUCUAAAGGGUCCGUAGCCGGUUUGGUCAGUCCUCCGGGAAAUCUGAUAGCUCAACUAUUAGGCUUUCGGGGGAUACUGCCAGACUUGGAACCGGGAGAGGUAAGAGGUACUACAGGGGUAGGAGUGAAAUCUUGUAAUCCCUGUGGGACCACCUGUGGCGAAGGCGUCUUACCAGAACGGGUUCGACGGUGAGGGACGAAAGCUGGGGGCACGAACCGGAUUAGAUACCCGGGUAGUCCCAGCCGCAAACGAUGCUCGCUAGGUGUCAGGCAUGGCGCGACCGUGUCUGGUGCCGCAGGGAAGCCAUGAAGCGAGCCACCUGGGAAGUACGGCCGCAAGGCUGAAACUUAA